GUUCCCUGUGCUAUUAGAACGAUUGGUCUCUCGACAAUACGUAAAAUAAUUAAUAACAGCCGUUUAUUGAAUAGUAUUUAUUGUCUAGUGUUUUUUUAUUAUUUUUGAUUUAAAAUUUUACUAAAAUGUCUAAAAAUUAUUUGUGUUUAUUAUUUAACCAUAACCAAAAAAUCUGUGCUGUUACAUUACUUCAUUAGAAAGAGAGGCAGUGAUAGAAAACAGUUGACUAUAUAUGUGUAUAACGCAAUGUUAUUUUUAUUAGUGUUUUCUCCGGUAACCUUGACGGAUCCACAAUUAAUUGAACUAAAAAAUCAAAUAGAUACAAUGUUGGAGACAAAGUUUUAUAACCUCACACUGAUAAUGGAAAAAAAAAAUAGAAUCAACGAAAAGAAGCAUAUUGUAUGAUAUUCAGCACAAAACUGAUGAACUUAAAAAUACUACAGUUACAAAUGGAUCUGCGACAUCGAUAAAUUUAACAGAAGCUAAAAAGAGAGGGAUAAAUGGAUCGUUGACAUUGGAGAAGUUCGAAGAUUUCGAUAAUAAACUCAGAGCGAAUGAUGAACACAAAGAAUCUUUAAUGAUUUUAUAUAAGAUUAUAACAAGGGGUGAAUUAAAAAUAAUGUCUGCUAUAAAAAAGAUUAUGGAAGUGACCAUGGAAAAAACGGUGGAGUUAGAAUACUCGGGAACAGGUCGUACUGUCAAUGGCUUGGGGAAAAAAAAUUUUAGCAAUACGGCUACCUACAAAUGUUUAGAUGGAGUGCUUUCUGACCAAUUUGCGGACUCAGGAGAGUUGAAAAAUUUAUCAGGAAAAGUGGGUCGCUGGUUAUCUGGUGCAGCGGAUCGCGAAGGUGGUCGUAAGGAGC